UAGUCCACACCGUAAACGCUGUCUACUAGCUGUGUGUGAAUUUAAUUCGUGCGUAGCGCAGCUAACGCGAUAAGUAGACCGCCUGGGGAGUACGGCCGCAAGGUUAAAACUCAAAUGAAUUGACGGGGGGCCCGCACAAGCGGUGGAGCAUGUGGUUUAAUUCGAUGCAACGCGAAGAACCUUACCUACACUUGACAUGCAGAGAACUUUCCAGAGAUGGAUAGGUGCCUUCGGGAACUCUGACACAGGUGCUGCAUGGCUGUCGUCAGCUCGUGUCGUGAGAUGUUGGGUUAAGUCCCGCAACGAGCGCAACCCUUGUCCUUAGUUGCCAGCCUUUAGUUGGGCACUCUAAGGNGACUGCCGGUGACAAACCGGGAGGAAGGGUGGGGGACGACGGUCAA
rnacentral:rRNA from 1 species